CGCGAUGCAGUGGAGGAUGGCUCUCUGGGUCGUAAACCUCUUUUCUCAAGGAAGAAUAAAUGACGGUACCUGAGGAAUCAGCAUCGGCUAACUCCGUGCCAGCAGCCGCGGUAAUACGGAGGAUGCAAGCGUUAUCCGGAAUGAUUGGGCGUAAAGCGUCCGCAGGUGGCACAUCAAGUCUGCUGUCAAAGCCCCCAGCUUAACUGGGAAGAGGCGGUGGAAACUGGUGAGCUAGAGAGCAAUAGGGGUAGAGGGAAUUCCCGGUGUAGCGGUGAAAUGCGUAGAGAUCGGGAAGAACACCAGUGGCGAAAGCGCUCUACUAGGUUGCAACUGACACUGAGGGACGAAAGCUAGGGGAGCGAAUGGGAUUAGAUACCCCUGUAGUC
rnacentral:rRNA from 1 species